UUUCUGCUGAGAUAAAGGAAGCAGACCCCCUGGCUGCCUCGGAAGCAAGUCAACCCAAACCCUGUCCCCCCGAAGUGACCCCCCACUACAUCUGGAUCGACUUCCUGGUGCAGCGGUUUGAGAUCGCCAAGUACUGCAGCUCUGACCAAGUGGAGAUCUUCUCCAGCCUGCUGCAGCGCUCCAUGUCCCUGAACAUCGGUGGGGCCAAGGGGAGCAUGAACCGGCAUGUGGCGGCCAUCGGGCCCCGCUUCAAGUGAGGGCCCUCUUCCUGGGGAGCACAGGGCCCCUGGUGUGUACAGUGUGUCAUGGGGCGUCUGUGUAUCACGGUACUUCUGUAGACGGGGAACACAUUUCAGUGAGCUGCUCCUGGAAGGGCAGGGAAGAGAGUCCAUAAGGUGAACUUGGCCCCAGGCCAGGCUCCUGCUCUGACCGGGUCCGGGGCUCCCUCACAGGCUGCUGACCCUGGGGCUGUCCCUCCUGCAUGCCGAUGUGGUUCCAAAUGCAACCAUCCGCAAUGUGCUUCGCGAGAAGAUCUACUCCACUGCCUUUGACUACUUCAG
ensembl:lncRNA PI4KAP1 phosphatidylinositol 4-kinase alpha pseudogene 1